rnacentral:rRNA from 1 species
ACUAAACAGCUAGCUCAAUUACCCAAAAUAUAAACCCUAAAUAUAAAUAAUUUUACAAAAACGUAAACAAUAAAACAAAACAUUUGACCACCCCAGUACGGGCGACAGAAAAGGAACAAAUGAAGCUAUAGACACAGUACCGCAAGGGAAAGCUGAAAGAGAAAUGAAACAACGCACUUAAGUACUUAAAAGCAGAGAAUUCACCUCGUACCUUUUGCAUCAUGAUCUAGCCAGUACCCCCAAGCAAAGAGAACUCUAGUUUGCCCCCCCGAAACCUAGACGAGCUACUCCGAGACAGCCUAUAGAAGGGCCAACCCGUCUCUGUGGCAAAAGAGUGGGAAGAUCUCCGAGUAGAAGUGAAAGACCUAUCGAGUUAGGUAAUAGCUGGUUGCCAAGAAAUGAAUAGAAGUUCAGCUCCGUUAAACCUCCAGCCAUAAAAGUCUUACUAAAAAAGGCCCCAAGUUAUUAACGGAAGUUAGUUAGGGAGGGUACAGCUUCCCUAACAAAGGACACAACCUUAACAGAAAGCUAAGGAAUAUUCUAAACCAAGGACACAGGUUUCAGUGGGCCUGAAAGCAGCCACCUGACCAGAAAGCGUUAAAGCUCAGACCUAAAUAAUCCUGUCAUAAGAUUAACCAAUCCAAUGCUUCUAAAAAUACUGGGCCACUUUAUGCCCCCAUAAAAAAGACCAUGCUAGAACGAGUAAUAAGAAGAACGAACUUCUCCCUGCACAAGUGUAAGUCGGAUCGGACCCACCACCGACAAUUAUCGAACCCAAAAAGAGAGGGCCCUGCGACACCCGCCUAUAACUGGCCAAGAAAACCACGCACAAACUAUCGUUAUCCUUACACAAGAGUGCCCACCAAGGGAAAGACUUAAAGGAAGAAAAGGAACUCGGCAAACCUAAACCCCGCCUGUUUACCAAAAACAUCGCCUCCUGCCCUAACUUGUAUAGGAGGUCCCGCCUGCCCUGUGACUAAAAGUUUAACGGCCGCGGUAUUUUAACCGUGCGAAGGUAGCGCAAUCAAUUGUCUUUUAAAUGGAGACCUGUAUGAAUGGCAUAACGAGGGUUUAACUGUCUCUUUUUCCUGGUCAAUGAAACUGAUCUGCUCGUGCAGAAGCGGGCAUAUGCUUAUAAGACGAGAAGACCCUAUGGAGCUUUAAACGUUAACCAAUCAUGAAAAGCGAACUUAAACCUCCCAAAUAGCAUGAACUUGGCACAAACGUUUUCGGUUGGGGCGACCACGGGAGAUAAAAAAGCUCCCGAGUGGACAGGAGGCAACUCUAAAACUAAGAGCUUCAGCUCUAAGUCUCAAAAACUUUGACCAACAAUGAUCCGGCUAAAUGGCCGAUCAACGGACCAAGUUACCCUAGGGAUAACAGCGCAAUCCUCUCCCAGAGUCCAUAUCGACGAGGGGGUUUACGACCUCGAUGUUGGAUCAGGACAUCCUGAUGGCGCAGCCGCUAUCAAGGGUUCGUUUGUUCAACGAUUAAAGUCCUACGUGAUCUGAGUUCAGACCGGAGUAAUCCAGGUCAGUUUCUAUCUAUAAAACGACCCUUCCUAGUACGAAAGGACCGGAAUGGUGAGGCCAAUACCUUAAGCACGCCUCCUCCCCACCUAAUGAAGACAACUAAAUUAGCCAAGGGGAAGUGACCCUUAGCCCAAGAGAAGGGCUCA